GACGAACGCUGGCGGCGUGCUUAACACAUGCAAGUCGAACGGAAAGGCCCUGCUUUUGUGGGGUGCUCGAGUGGCGAACGGGUGAGUAACACGUGAGUAACCUGCCCUUGACUUUGGGAUAACUUCAGGAAACUGGGGCUAAUACCGGAUAGGAGCUCCUGCUGCAUGGUGGGGGUUGGAAAGUUUCGGCGGGUGGGGAUGGACUCGCGGCUUAUCAGCUUGUUGGUGGGGUAGUGGCUUACCCAGGCUUUGGAGGGUAGCCGGCCUGAGAGGGUGACCGGCCACAUUGGGACUGCGAUACGGCCCAGACUCCUACGGGAGGCAGCAGUGGGGAAUAUUGCACAAUGGGCGGAAGCCUGAUGCAGCAACGCCGCGUGCGGGAUGACGGCCUUCGGGUUGUAAACCGCUUUCGCCUGUGACGAAGCGUGAGUGACGGUAAUGGGUAAAGAAGCACCGGCUAACUACGUG
rnacentral:rRNA from 1 species